AAUUGAUGAUGAUGCGAAUUAGUUUGCAUGAUCAUCAUACUCAAGACAUAAAAGCAGUACCUCACACGAAGUCGAAAAAAUGAAAUAUUAAUUCGCUUUGAGUGAGAUCAAUUUGCCCGUAAGGGCAGACAAGCAAGCAUAGAGAUUGAACUGAAGAGUUUGAUCCUGGCUCAGAUUGAACGCUGGCGGCAUGCUUUACACAUGCAAGUCGAACGGCAGCGACGGGGCAACCCUGGUGGCGAGUGGCGAACGGGUGAGUAAUAUAUCGGAACGUACCCGGAAAUGGGGAUAACGUAGCGAAAGUUACGCUAAUACCGCAUAUGCCCUAAGGGGGAAAGCGGGGGAUUCGCAAGAACCUCGCGUUUUCGGAGCGGCCGAUAUCGGAUUAGCUAGUAGGUGAGGUAAAAGGCUCACCUAGGCGACGAUCCGUAGCUGGUCUGAGAGGACGACCAGCCACACUGGAACUGAGACACGGUCCAGACUCCUACGGGAGGCAGCAGUGGGGU
rnacentral:rRNA from 1 species